rnacentral:rRNA from 1 species
GAUUGACAAAGUUGGAUGUGAUACCUUUUCGGAAAGCCCAAAGAGAGCCUUCCGAUGAAAGAAGCAGGACAAUGGAACUUAUCCAUUGAUUUUUUGUCGAUCCCAAAUUUUGACCUUUAAGUACUUUUUCGGGCAUAUUUGUGAUUUGGGCUAUAUUAGGCACACAAAAUUACUUGUUCAAUACUUGUUUUAGAAUUUUUUCAUGCUUCAAAGCUCGUUAAGACUAGAUGGGGUAUCCUACAUAGCGGGUGCGACCCACGACGAAUGGUUCAUCAAGUCUUCAAAAAAGAAUAUAUACGAUUGCAUUGCAUAUACUAACGUAUGCGAUCAUACCAGCACUAAUACACGAGAUCCCAUCAGAACUCCGCAGUUAAGCGUGCUUGGGCGAAUAUUGUACUAGGAUGGGUGACCUCCCGGGAAGUCCUCGUGUUGCAUCCCUCUUUUUUUUUAAU